GUGUGCAUAUGUGUUCUGCGUGCUGUGUAUUUGUGCUAUGCACAUACCACACAGCCAUCUGUACACACGCGUCAUUACACACACGGUGUGUGUGGCGUCAUCUAUGCCGUGUGUGUGCGUGUGUGUCUAUGAAUUCCAGGUUAUCUCGGCCUCAUUUCUCCAGCAGUUGAGAUGACGGAGAUUAAAGUGUCAAAGCUCCGAGCUGACGAGUGGGUUCUCAUGGUGCACAUCACCUGUCUGUUUUGACAGUCUUUGGCUGUUAAGAGUGAUUAAUGGAAGGCAUCAUAGAAAGGAACGUGUCUCAAUUCUGUCCCAUUCUUUGCAGCUAAUAGCCCCAGUAUAUGAAAAUGUUAAUGUGUGGUUCCCGGGGAAGCGUCACCGAUCCUAAUAUUGUUACUGUCGUGGUAACGUCCAUGAAGCUCGUGCUGGAGUUGGAGGAGCUGGGGCCUGCAGCAUGGGGUGGAGAAAAGUCUGGUGCCUCUGCCUCGUUACCAAGGGCCCUGCACCCCAAUGUCCUCUCAGCAUUUGGGCGUUUGAGAGGAGCAGGGAAGAGGGGCUCUGUGAGAAGAGCAGGGAGACAAGAGGAGUCCGGGAGGGGAGUGCUCAAGAAAGAAGAUGAAAGCUGGGGACAGGACAGAUGUGCCAAGUAUUCACCCAAACCAGAAGGCAGCAGGACAUUCGAGAGCCACCAUCCUGCUCUUCGGAGAUGCAUUUGCACUUGUGCCUUUCUUGGAAAAGUCAAGUUGUCAUGGAGUCACCAGUGCCCCUGGUACAGGGCUGUCUUCCCAACACCCCAGAGUGCUCGCCCCGAAUGCCUGCUCACCAUGUUCACACGCUCUGGAGACAGCACACAGCCUGCGGCUCGCCACGUUCACACUCUCUACAGACAGCACACAGCCUGCAGCUCGCCACGUUCACAUGCUCUGGAGACAGCACACAGCCUGUGGCACACCGUGUUCACACGCUCUAGAGACAGUACACAGCCUGCAGCUCACCGUGUUCACACACCCUGGAGACAGCACACAGCCUGCGGCUCACCGUGUUCACACGCCCUGGAGACAGCACACAGCCUGCGGCUCACCGUGUUCACACGCUCUGGAGACAGCACACAGCCUGCGGCUCACCGUGUUCACACGCUCUGGAGACAGCACACAGCCUGCGGCUCACCGUGAAUUCACACGCUCCUGUGAGACAGCACACAGCCUGCAGGCUCACCGUA
rnacentral:lncRNA from 1 species